AGUGAACGCUGGCGGCGUGCCUAAUACAUGCAAGUCGAACGGAGUGGCGCACGGGUUAGUAAUAUAUAGCUAAUCUUCCCCUUGCUGGAGGACAACAGUUAGAAAUGACUGCUAAUACUCCAUAGGAAGGGAUGAGACUAUAUCGUAUCAGCUGAUCGGUGGGGUAACAGCCUACCGAGGCUAUGACGCGUAACUGGUCUGAGAGGAGGAGCAGUCCAAUUGGAACUGAGACACGGUGCAAGCUCCUACCGGAGGCAGCAGUAGGGAAUAGUGAGCAAAGGGGGAAACCCUGACGCAGCAACGCCGCGUGGAGGAUGACACUUGUCGGAGCGUAAACUCCUUUUGUUAGGGAAGCGGUACCUAACGAAUAAGCACCGGCUAACUCCGUGCCAGCCGCCGCGGUAAUAC
rnacentral:rRNA from 1 species